rnacentral:rRNA from 1 species
UAGGGAAUCUUCCACAAUGGACGAAAGUCUGAUGGAGCAACGCCGCGUGAGUGAAGAAGGGUUUCGGCUACGUAAAACUCUGUUGUUAAAGAAGAACAUAUCUGAGAGUAACUGUUCAGGUAUUGACGGUAUUUAACCAGAAAGCCACGGCUAACUACGUGCCAC